GUAGGUGAACCUGCGGAAGGAUCAUUACAGAGUUCAUGCCCUCACGGGUAGAUCUCCCACCCUUGCGUAUUACAAACUUUGUUGCUUUAGCGGGCGCGAGCCCGCUAGAGAACCCCAAACUCCUGAAUGUUAGUGUCGUCUGAGUACUAUAAAAUAGUUAAAACUUUCAACAACGGAUCUCUUGGUUCUG
rnacentral:misc_RNA from 1 species